rnacentral:lncRNA from 10 species
UUGAAGGAUGAGUUGGAAUUUUCCAGCUGGAGAAAAUGAGGGAGGAAAGGAUAAAUUUCCAGGAAGGGAUCAGUAUAGGCAGGCUUGGAAGGAGAUGAUGGAUUGGGGAAAUGGCAAGUUGUUGGGUAUUAGGGUAUUGAGGAGGGAGAUGAAAUUGGAGUACUCCGCUGUGGUCAGAAAUCAAAAGGCCACAUUCACCAAAUCAUGGUUGGUGACCUAACCAUGGAGUGGGCCUGCCUGUUGAGCCAUUCUGCUGUGAAGAGAUGGGGCAUACGUGGAAUGUUCAUGUUUCUGUCUGCCUUCACUUUCGAGCAUGUUCUGUGUACCAGGCCCCAUACAAAGUGCUUUAGGUAAGUAUUACUAUCCCAUGACAAAUGUUUUAGGUAAGUAUUAUUAUCCCAUUUUACACAUGAAGAAACUGAGACUCAGGGAUUUCCACCACCAUGGAUGGCACAGAGUUAGGACCGAGGUCUCUCCAGCCCCAAAGUUGAGCCUUCAUCCAUCAAGCCAUGCCACUUUUGGAAUUGUGUCUGUCCAACGUCAGAACUUCUUUCAUUCCCUGUCCUUGUCCUUGUUGAAUGUUGUAUGUUCAGAGAUUUUUCCUUGGCUUUAGGGUCUGGGUCACAACUCCACCACACCCUCAGGGACAUGGUGCAUCUCACCAGGGAGGUUAUUCCUUCAAAAGUGUGGGCUCUUGGGGCGACACUGAAAGGGGAGUCAGAGCUUCAGAGUUUGUGGUUUCCUGGGCAAAUUCCACAGUGAAAAGAACAAGACAAGAAUCAUUCAUUUGAGUGCUUUAAAAUAAUAAAUUAUUGUUUCUAUUUCCUGAGCACUUACAAAGUGCCAGGCAUUGCGACAAGCACUUCACACACAUUAUCUCACCAUAUUUCCAACUACCCGCAAGGUAUAGGUCCCAAUCCCUUACCUGGUUCCGUUCAGAUUCAGGUAUGUUUCAGAAUUCCGAAGCGUUCAUGUUUUUAAGGGGCAAAUCUGUGCCUGUACUGUAUUUUUCAUAACACCUCCCAGCAAGGUCUGGGGUGACAUCCAUCAUUAGACAUCGAUAUUUCUGCAGCUGACAUAUGGAUAAUCAUGCUUAAUGGGAUAAAUAAAAACUAUAUUAUAUAAAGUCUCAUAAUCUUUCAGGUCAGGUUUUACCAUCAAAUGAAUUUCCUGCUAACUUAAAAAAAAAGCUGUUUUUCAGAGCCUACUGGAUUUCUGAAUUGCUGAUAAGGGAUUAUGGAUCUGGAAUAUUAUUUUUCCCACUGUAUAGAUGAGAAAACUGAGAUUUAGAGACAUCAAGGAACUUAUCCAAGGUCAUACCACUAAGUGGUGGAGCCAGGGUUUGGAGCUGGUUUGAUGUGCUUGUACCCCA